rnacentral:rRNA from 1 species
UUUCCUACGGGGGGCUGCAGUGGGGAAUAUUGGACAAUGGGCGCAAGCCUGAUCCAGCAAUGCCGCGUGGGUGAAGAAGGUCUUCGGAUUGUAAAGCCCUUUCGGCGGGGACGAUGAUGACGGUACCCGCAGAAGAAGCCCCGGCUAACUUCGUGCCAGCAGCCGCGGUAAUACGAAGGGGGCUAGCGUUGCUCGGAAUUACUGGGCGUAAAGGGCGCGUAGGCGGCCUUGUCAGUCGGGCGUGAAAUUCCUGGGCUCAACCUGGGGGCUGCGUUCGAUACGGCGGGGCUAGAGGACGGAAGAGGCUCGUGGAAUUCCCAGUGUAGAGGUGAAAUUCGUAGAUAUUGGGAAGAACACCGGUGGCGAAGGCGGCGAGCUGGUCCGUAACUGACGCUGAGGCGCGACAGCGUGGGGAGCAAACAGGAUUAGAUACCCGGGUAGUCUG